rnacentral:lncRNA from 1 species
GCCCAUGCCUUGUUUUCAGGGCCUUUUGAGAGCCUGAGGACUAAGUGUGAUGCUGGCUCUUUUCCCACAGUGUCAGUGGGUGUUCACCAUGCUCGGGGGCCUCUCAGAUCACCCAUCAUUGAGCAACUUGGACACCUGUGGCCACUAUCACACCUGCUCCCUUGCACUUCUCCUGAUGAUGCCGCUCAGCCGGGUGCAUAGAGCACCCACCCUGGGCUGUGGGACUUAGGGUGCCCACGGUGCAGAUGGGGGCUGAGUGGCAGGAACUGGCCAUGGGUAGGGACCUCUCUUGGUUAAUGGAUUGAGACCUGUUUCUUGACCCAGGUCAGUCAGGGCUGUGUUCAUCUGGCCGGGUGGUCUCUAUCCAUGGUUUCUGUGGGGUCACCUUGCUCUUUCCUCUUGGCUUCUGUCCCUUGCCCUGUGACUCUGUCCCCCUCAGGGGUAUGGGAGGCCUUAGUGUGAUGCUAGGUGGCACCUGUGCAACCCUGGACUCAGUGUCUGCAUGGUUGGCAUGGCUUUCCUGGCAGGUGGGCCCUGGGCCUAUAAGCCUGGGAGGUGCCAGGAAAUCUGGGGACAGGCGAGGGUCCCUGAGGCACAGGUGGAAGGGCCAUACCUGGUAUUUCCCUUGGUUCUCUGCCUUCACCUUCUCCAGGUCCAACAGCAGAGACCAUGCCUGUCCUCUCACCUGUGGGGGGAUCCCCUUGUAGACCCGCCGGCGCAUCUGCAGGAAUUCAGGGAAGAUAAUGAUGUGGACUCUAAGCUCCUGGCUUUGACAUGACUCAGGCCAGCGAUGGACCACCCAGGGUUUCCAAGAAAGUACUCAAGUGGACUCUAAGCCCUUGCAGUUUGACUUGACUCAGGCUGGAAAUUUGCCACCCAGGCCGCACCACACUGCCGGAUUUCACCAGGUCCAAGCAUCAAACCAGGAGCUCACUCAGGUACACCCUUUAAGAGACCCCACACAGCUCCUACCUGCUCUGGGAUGGCCUGGACUCCCUUCUUCCCCUCCCCCCUCUUCCAUCUGUCCUUCAACCUCUUCCAUCUAUCUCCUCCUGCUCAGUCCUUUCCUCCCCCUCCUCUAUCUAUUCCUCUUCCUCCUCCUGCUCUUCAUGCUCUUCCUGAUCCAUCUUCCUUGCAUCCUCCUCCUCACCUCCAUUCAUGUUUUCUCCUCUUCUCACUCUUGUCCCUAUUUCUUAUCCUCAUUCACCUCCUCCCUCCAUCCUGCUGCAUCCACCUUUUCUCCUGAAUCCAUCUUUCCUCUUGCUAGACCUUCCUUCCUUUCUUCCCAUCCUCCUCCUCCUCCUGCAUCCUCUCCCCUCCUGCACCUCCUUCAGCCUCACAUGUCCAUCCUUCUCCCUCUCUUCCUUUUCUGGACAAGAGUCUGACCUCUAACCUUGGGCUCCUCCAGGUCAUCGGGCACCUCUGGCAGCAGCCCGUAGUUCAUGGAACCCAGAAGGGGCUUCAUGCUCAGGGAUUGGUGCUAGAGGUCCUUGUCACCUUGACCUCAGACCCAUGUGCUCCAGGCACCCACCACAGUCCUCUUCCCUUGAGAUAUUGGUAGAGGGUGAGGGUGCAGCUCAAGCCCACCUUUCUGACACU